GGGAUGCCGCGUCGCCCCAGGGCUCGGAAGAGCCAAGCUUCCGUCCCCGUCCCCGUGCGGAGGUGGACCGACGGGGGGCCAGGUAAGGAAGCUGGAGCCUGGAGACGACCCCAGGUGAGCCUGGGGGCAGAUCUGAGCCCAUGUCUGACCAGAGUCCACUGGACACAAUGACCUGGAAAACGCACAGUGUCUCAGGAGCAGACAGAUGUUCCAGCUUAAAGCUAACUUCAUUAACUUUGUCCUUCGCUUGAGCAACCGCUGCGUCAAGGUCAUGCUGUCCAACUCGAAUCUCUAAGUGAAUCCGCUGUACAAACAGUAGAAGGGAAGAAACAUUCUUAAAACAGCUCCACUCCCGCCCCGUGUCUGCCCGUGCCCUCUCUUCGCUCUCCCCGCCCCGCCCCGUGUCUGCCCGUGCCCUCUCUUCGCUCUCCCCACCCCCCCUGCAAGAGCAGGCCCCGCUGCUUCCUGGUCUCUCACCGGCCCUCAACCCCUGCCAGACUCAGCACUUGAGGAUGAUAUGCACUAAAUGGUGAUCUGUGACCCAGAGAAGGUACUCAUACCCCCAAACGUCAAAUUUACUAUGAGGCAAAUGCCUUUGGUGCUAAGCGAAUUUGAUUACUUUCAGGAAAUUUUUCUUUACAUAAAACUAAUUUCUGAUACUAACGU